GACCGGCUGGUCUAAUGGUAUGACACUCCAUUUAACGUUGUCGCAUUGCCGGAGUAGUGUGGGUUCGAUUCCUGCGCUGGUCG